rnacentral:lncRNA from 1 species
GGUAACACAGCUGGUUGAUGAAAUCAUGCAAAAGGAUCAUGGAAUGGAACCAUGUUACCUCAGAUGUAAGACACAGGCGGACCCAUCUACUGAGCUCUUUAUGUGCACGGACAGUUGGUACCUCAAUUUCCACCAGAAGGCUGACAGGUUCCUGAAAAACAAGAAAAAAGAAAUGCACACUCCCUUCGCAGGCAUUAUCCUGUUCAGGUUCAAAGGGACUUUCUCAGCCCAUCUCACAACAGUCAAGGCCAAGAAGCCUUCACAUUGUUGAGAAUGCAGGCACCCCUGGUGCAACUUUCAUAAAUAACAAUCCCAUAACAAUACGAUGAAUACUUGAGGGAGAAACAGAAUCCAAA